GACGAACGCUGGCGGCGUGCUUAACACAUGCAAGUCGAACGGAAAGGCCCUGCUUUUGUGGGUUGCUCGAUUGGCGAACGCGUGAGUAACACGUGUGUAACCCCCCCCUAACUUUGGGAUAUCUUCACGAAACUGGGGCUCUUACCGGAUAGAAUCUCCUGCUGCAUGUUGGGGGUUGGAAAGUUUCGGCGGUUGGGGCUGGUCUGGCGGCUUAUCCGCUUGUUUGUGGGGUAGUGGCUUACCAAGGCUUUGACGGGUAGCCGGCCUGAGAGGGUGACCGGCGACAUGGGGACUGAGGGACGGCCCAGAAGGCUACGGGAGGCAGCAGGGGGGAAUAUGGCACAAGGAGCGGAAGCCUGAUGCAGAAACGCCGCGUGCGGGAAGACGGCCUUCGGGGGGUAAACCGAUUUCGCAUGUGACGAAGCGUGAGUGACGGUAAUGGGUAAAGAAGCACCGGCUAACUACGUG
rnacentral:rRNA from 1 species